GAUGAACGCUAGCUACAGGCUUAACACAUGCACGUCGAGGGACCGGCGCACGGGUGAGUAACACGUAUCCAACCUGCCCUUUACUCGGGGAUAGCCUUUCGAAAGAAAGAUUAAUACCCGAUAUAAAGGAUGGGGCUGCGUUCCAUUAGGUUGUUGGUGCGGUAACGCCCCACCAAGCCUUCGAUGGAUAGGGGUUCUGAGAGGAAGGCCCCCCACAUUAGAACAGUGACACGGUCCAAACUCCUACGGGAGGCAGCAGUGAGGAAUAUUUGUCAAUGGGCGCUAGCCUGAACCAGCCAAGUAGCGUGAAGGAUGAAGGCUUAUGGGUCGUAAACUUCGUUUAUAUAAGAAUAUGUAUUAUAUGAAUAAGGAGCGGCUAACUCCGUGCCAGCGGCCGCGGUAAUG
rnacentral:rRNA from 1 species